GCCGGAGUGGCGGAAUUGGUAGACGCAAGGGACUUAAAAUCCCUCGUUCCAAAAGAGCGUAUCGGUUCGAGUCCGAUCUCCGGCACCA
rnacentral:tRNA from 1 species